GUCUGCGGCCAUACCAUCCUCAAUACGCCAAUCUCGUCUGAUCUCGAAAGCUAAGCAGGGUCGGGCCUGGUUAGUACUUGGAUGGGAGAAAGCCGUUUUGUGAAGCCUGUUGCACCUGUCA
ensembl:rRNA 5S_rRNA 5S ribosomal RNA